rnacentral:rRNA from 1 species
GACGAACGCUGGCGGCGUGCCUAAUACAUGCAAGUAGAACGCUGAAGGAGGAGCUUGCUUCUCCGGAUGAGUUGCGAACGGGUGAGUAACGCGUAGGUAACCUGCCUGGUAGCGGGGGAUAACUAUUGGAAACGAUAGCUAAUACCGCAUAACAGUAGAUAUUGCAUGAUAUCUGCUUGAAAGGUGCAAUUGCAUCACUACCAGAUGGACCUGCGUUGUAUUAGCUAGUUGGUGAGGUAACGGCUCACCAAGGCGACGAUACAUAGCCGACCUGAGAGGGUGAUCGGCCACACUGGGACUGAGACACGGCCCAGACUCCUACGGGAGGCAGCAGUAGGGAAUCUUCGGCAAUGGACGGAAGUCUGACCGAGCAACGCCGCGUGAGUGAAGAAGGUUUUCGGAUCGUAAAGCUCUGUUGUAAGAGAAGAACGAGUGUGAGAGUGGAAAGUUCACACUGUGACGGUAUCUUACCAGAAAGGGACGGCUAACUACGUGCCAGCAGCCGCGGUAAUACGUAGGUCCCGAGCGUUGUCCGGAUUUAUUGGGCGUAAAGCGAGCGCAGGCGGUUAGAUAAGUCUGAAGUUAAAGGCUGUGGCUUAACCAUAGUACGCUUUGGAAACUGUUUAACUUGAGUGCAAGAGGGGAGAGUGGAAUUCCAUGUGUAGCGGUGAAAUGCGUAGAUAUAUGGAGGAACACCGGUGGCGAAAGCGGCUCUCUGGUCUGUAACUGACGCUGAGGCUCGAAAGCGUGGGGAGCAAACAGG